UCACAUACCAUCCGUGUGCAAGAAAUAAAAUUGAAAUUUUGGAAAGAAAAAAUAAAACAUGGAUAGAUAAUUUGCGGACAACUUCUGACCUUACUUCUUUCAUGUUCCAAAUAUCAUUUAUUUCAUGUACAAAUUUUUAACAUGAAGCUGGCUUAAAAAAUCAAGGACCACAUGACAUCAAUAUAUCUUAAAUUGGAAAUAAAAAUUUGUGAUACUAAUUCUUGCAAGAAAUAGAUAUUGCCAUGUACAUCAUUUUUGAUACUGUCCAUUUUAUUAUAUUAUCAGUAUACUGUUUUAGGCCCAAAAUAAUCAAUCUAUCAUUAUCAUAAGUUGAGUUUUUAUUUAAUCUCAUUAUAUCUCAUUCAUGUGGCCCUUCUAGUGACGCCAAAGAUAAGAUGAUUUUUAAUUUUUGCAGGUACAUGGCUACCCCAAAUAUCACAUGAGUGAAGACUGAAGAGAACACAAAUCAAUGAGAUUGUCCAAAAUUAGUAAAUUAGCAUAAUGUAAUGUAACAUUUUUUUUUUGAAACGGUCGAUGUUAGUAUUGUUAAUUUGUAACUCAAUUGUCAUCAAUCAUCUCAAAGAGUUACCAUCCUCUAAGGAUUGUGAGGGUGUGACAUGGAUGAUAUUCUAAAGGGGUUAUGUGGGUGGAGUUGGAAGGAGAACAAAUUGUUUGAGCUAGCUUUAGCUUUAGUAGAUGAGAGUCAUCCAGAAAGGUGGGAGAUGGUUGCAGCUAUGGUUGGAGGUGAAAAAAGUGCAGGGGAGGUUCAAAAGCAUUAUGUGAUACUUUUGGAGGAUUUGGAGCUUAUAGAAUCUGGAAAAUUUGAUCAUAAAUUGGGAGAAGAUAAUACAUGUGUUAUUGUUGACCUUACUGAGUCCUUAUGCUUGUCUGAUAAAUAAUACUAUUGGUAACACCAUGAUGAUAAAUUGGCUUAAGCAUACAUACAGUACAAGAAGUUGCAUAAUAAACCUGAUUCAAUGUCCACUCUACCCUAUUAUAAAAAUGUACGAGACGAUAUAAUGAAAUGACAAUUGACAACUGUAAAUGUAAUUGCAAAUAGUUCUAAAUUAUUGUCUGCAAAUGUAAUUGCAACUGUAAUAUAACUGUUUUAGGGCCUAUUUGAA